rnacentral:rRNA from 1 species
UACGUAGGGGGCAAGCGUUGUCCGGAUUUAUUGGGCGUAAAGAGCGUGUAGGCGGCCAGACAGGUCCGUUGUGAAAACUGGAGGCUUAACCUUCAGACGUCGAUGGAAACCAUCUGGCUAGAGUCCGGAAGAGGAGAGUGGAAUUCCUGGUGUAGCGGUGAAAUGCGUAGAUAUCUGGAGGAACACCGGUGGCGAAGGCGGCAUCCUGGACCAACACUGACGCUCAUGCACGAAGGCCAGGGGAGCAAACGGG